rnacentral:lncRNA from 1 species
CCUGAGUCAGCCUCUGUUUCACAACCACUAGCUUUUCUCCCCUUUGUCUGUUUCCAAUAUAUUAAAUCAGUUCACUGUUACCAGUCACCAAAAUUAUUCUGAGGGCUUCCUAACUGGUCUUCCUGCAGGCAUUCUUUCCUCCAUCUUCCACACUGCAGACAACUUCCAUCUCAUCGUCUCCUGUUUGGCUUCCCAUUACUUUGAGGCCAUAAAACAAACUCCAGGCCCAUAAAACCCUAAGGGAUCUGGCCACUGCCAGCUUUCCUGGUCUCAUCUUUUGUCACUUUCCUACUUGUUCUCUGGGCCCUAGCAUGCUGGCCCCUUUUUCAGUUUGUCAAACACAGCUGCCUUCUCUCAUCACAGAGCCUCUUAACAUUGUAUUACAUGUAUGGAAUGCUCUUCCUCCCCCAUUUUACAUAGUUAAUUCUCACAUAGUCUUCAGGUCUCUGCUGAUUGAAUCUUCAGGGAUGCCUCCUUUGAAGCCCUGGACUAGAUUAAUUGCCUUUGAUAAGUAUUUUGAAAAACCAUUUCUUUCAUUUAGACCACUUAGCUUGGUUCACAGUUACAUAUUAGUGUGGUUAGUGUAAUAUUUCUCAGUUUCUCUAGAUUGUUAAGUGCCAUGUGAGCAGGACCUUGGGUAUGCUUACUAUUGCAUCCGUAGAGCCUAGCACCACAUCUGGUUUAUACAACCAUAGGCACUGAAGCACACAAUGGGUAACUGCAAGUGGCUUGAUGGAGUCUUAUCAAGCUGUGACUGAAGAAACAUGGGAACUGAGGCUACAUAGAGGAUCUACAACAAUGGCUUUCAAACUAUUUUGAUGAUGAUCUACAAUGUGAAUACAAUUUGUAUUACAGUUCAGUACACGAGCAUGUUCAUAGCAUAUGUAACAUAGAUUUUGUA